rnacentral:rRNA from 1 species
AGAGUUUGAUCCUGGCUCAGAACGUACGCUGGCGGCACGCCUAACACAUGCAAGUCGAACGAAGUAGCAAUACUUAGUGGCAGACGGGUGAGUAACAUGUGGGUAUCUACCCUUUGGCCUGGAAUAACACGAGGAAACUUGUGCUAAUACCGGAUAAGUCUUUACGGAGAAAGCUUUAUGCACCAUUGGAUGAGCCCGCACUUGAUUAGUUUGUUGGUAGGGUAAUGGCCUACCAAGACUAUGAUCAAUAGCUGAUUUGAGAGGAUGAUCAGCCACAUUGGGACUGAGACACGGCCCAAACUCCUACGGGAGGCAGCAGUGGGGAAUCUUGCACAAUGGAGGAAACUCUGAUGCAGCGAUGCCGCGUGAGUGAAGAAGGCCUUUGGGUUGUAAAGCUCUUUCGUCGGGGAAGAAAAUGACUGUACCCGAAUAAGAAGGUCCGGCUAACUUCGUGCCAGCAGCCGCGGUAAUACGAAGGGACCUAGCGUAGUUCGGAAUUACUGGGCUUAAAGAGUUCGUAGGUGGUUGAAAAAGUUGGUGGUGAAAUCCCAGAGCUUAACUCUGGAACUGCCAUCAAAACUUUUCAGCUAGAGUAUGAUAGAGGAAAGCAGAAUUUCUAGUGUAGAGGUGAAAUUCGUAGAUAUUAGAAAGAAUACCAAUUGCGAAGGCAGCUUUCUGGAUCAUUACUGACACUGAGGAACGAAAGCAUGGGUAGCGAAGAGGAUUAGAUACCCUCGUAGUCCAUGCCGUAAACGAUGUGUGUUAGACGUUGG